CCCGCCUUGCAUCAACUGAA
rnacentral:ncRNA from 2 species